GAUGAACGCUGGCGGCGUGCCUAAUACAUGCAAGUCGAGCGAACAGACGAGGAGCUUGCUCCUCUGACGUUAGCGGCGGACGGGUGAGUAACACGUGGAUAACCUACCUAUAAGACUGGGAUAACUUCGGGAAACCGGAGCUAAUACCGGAUAAUAUAUUGAACCGCAUGGUUCAAUAGUGAAAGACGGUUUUGCUGUCACUUAUAGAUGGAUCCGCGCCGCAUUAGCUAGUUGGUAAGGUAACGGCUUACCAAGGCAACGAUGCGUAGCCGACCUGAGAGGGUGAUCGGCCACACUGGAACUGAGACAAGAUCCAGACUCCUACGGGAGGCAACAGUAGGGAAUCUUCCGCAAUGGGCGAAAGCCUGACGGAGCAACGCCGCGUGAGUGAUGAAGGUCUUCGGAUCGUAAAACUCUGUUAUUAGGGAAGAACAAAUGUGUAAGUAACUAUGCACGUCUUGACGGUACCUAAUCAGAAAGCCACGGCUAACUACGUG
rnacentral:rRNA from 1 species